rnacentral:rRNA from 1 species
GUGAGGAAUUUUCCGCAAUGGGCGAAAGCCUGACGGAGCAAUGCCGCGUGAAGGAUGAAGGCCUAUGGGUUAUAAACUUCUUUUCUUAGAGAAGAAUAUUGACGGUAUCUGAGGAAUAAGCAUCGGCUAACUCUGUGCCAGCAGCCGCGGUAAGACAGAGGAUGCAAGCGUUAUCCGGAAUGAUUGGGCGUAAAGCGUCUGUAGGUGGCUUCAAAAGUCUCCUGUCAAAGAUCAGGUCUUAACCCUGGGCCGGCAGGAGAAACUCUGAGGCUAGAGUUUGGUAGGGGCAGAGGGAAUUCCCGGUGGAGCGGUGAAAUGCGUAGAGAUCGGGAGGAACACCAAAGGCGAAAGCACUCUGCUGGGCCACAACUGACACUGAGAGACGAAAGCGAGGGGAGCAAAAGGGAUUAGAUACCCGGGUAGUCC